UACGAAGGGUGCAAACGUUGCUCGGAAUUAUUGGGCGUAAAGCGCACGUAGGCGGCUUUGCAAGUCGGAUGUGAAAUCCCUCGGCUCAACCAAGGAAGUGCAUCCGAAACUGCAGAGCUUGAGUACUUAAGAGGAUCGCGGAAUUCCCGGUGUAGAGGUGAAAUUCGUAGAUAUCGGGAGGAACACCAGUGGCGAAGGCGACUACCUGGCCUGUUCUUGACGCUGAGGCGCGAAAGCUAGGGGAGCAAACGGG
rnacentral:rRNA from 1 species